UACGAAGGGGGCUAGCGUUGCUCGGAAUCACUGGGCGUAAAGCGCACGUAGGCGGCUUCUUAAGUCAGGGGUGAAAUCCUGGAGCUCAACUCCAGAACUGCCUUUGAUACUGGCAACCUUGAGUCCGGGAGAGGUGAGUGGAACUGCGAGUGUAGAGGUGAAAUUCGUAGAUAUUCGCAAGAACACCAGUGGCGAAGGCGGCUCACUGGCCCGGUACUGACGCUGAGGUGCGAAAGUGUGGGGAGCGAACAGG
rnacentral:rRNA from 1 species